rnacentral:rRNA from 1 species
AACGAACGCUGGCGGCGUGCCUAACACAUGCAAGUCGAGCGCGAAUGGAGCAAUCCUAGUAGAGCGGCGCACGGGUGCGUAACACGUGGGUAAUCUGCCUGGAAGACCGGAACAACCUGCCGAAAGGCUGGCUAAUGCCGGAUAAGCCUACGAGAUCCUCGGAUCUUGAAGGAAAAGGUGGCCUCUGUAUACAAGCUAUCACUUCCAGAUGAGCCCGCGGCCCAUCAGCUAGUUGGCGGGGUAACGGCCCACCAAGGCAACGACGGGUAGCUGGUCUGAGAGGACGAUCAGCCACACUGGAACUGAGACACGGUCCAGACUCCUACGGGAGGCAGCAGUGGGGAAUUUUGCACAAUGGG